rnacentral:hammerhead_ribozyme from 1 species
AUCAAACUAUGACGAGUCCCGAAUAGGACGAAACGCGCGUUCUGGAU